rnacentral:rRNA from 1 species
UACGUAGGGAGCAAGCGUUGUCCGGAAUCAUUGGGCGUAAAGCGCGCGUAGGCGGCCUCAUAAGUCCGUUGUGAAAGUCAAAGGCUCAACCUUUGAAAGCCGAUGGAUACUGUGAGGCUAGAGUUCGGAAGAGGCGAGUGGAAUUCCUGGUGUAGCGGUGGAAUGCGCAGAUAUCAGGAGGAACACCGGUGGCGAAGGCGGUUCUCUGGGCCUGUACUGACGCUGAGGAACGAAAGCGUGGGGAGCGAACAGG